rnacentral:rRNA from 1 species
CCUACGGGUGGCAGCAGUGAGGAAUAUUGGUCAAUGGGCGAGAGCCUGAACCAGCCAAGUCGCGUGAGGGAGUACUGCCCUAUGGGUUGUAAACCUCUUUUGUCGGGGAGCAAAAGCCGGACGUGUCCGGCUGUGAGAGUACCCGAAGAAAAAGCAUCGGCUAACUCCGUGCCAGCAGCCGCGGUAAUACGGAGGAUGCGAGCGUUAUCCGGAUUUAUUGGGUUUAAAGGGUGCGUAGGCGGAUUUUUAAGUCAGCGGUAAAAUGUCCGGGCUCAACCCGGGCCGGCCGUUGAAACUGGGGAUCUUGAGUGGGCGAGAAGUAUGCGGAAUGCGUGGUGUAGCGGUGAAAUGCAUAGAUAUCACGCAGAACUCCGAUUGCGAAGGCAGCAUACCGGCGCCCGACUGACGCUGAGGCACGAAAGCGUGGGGAUCGAACAGGAUUAGAUACCCCAGUAGUC